UGGGCACUCAUACCAGACUGCCGCAGCAAUGUGGAGGAAGGUGGGGAGUGACGUCAAGUCAGCAUGCCCCGUACGCCCUGGGCUACACACAUACUACAAUGCAGAGUGCAGACGGAUGCCAAGCCGUGAGGUGGAGCUAAUCCGCGAAGGCUCUGCUCAGUGCAGAUUGCAGGCUGCAACUCGCCUGCAUGAAGGCGGAAUCGCUAGUAACCGUCGGUCAGCAUUACCGACGGUCGAAUACGUUCCCGGGCCUU
rnacentral:rRNA from 1 species